rnacentral:rRNA from 2 species
GUAAUGUCUGGGAAACUGCCUGAUGGAGGGGGAUAACUACUGGAAACGGUGGCUAAUACCGCAUAACGUCGCAAGACCAAAGAGGGGGACCUUCGGGCCUCUUGCCAUCAGAUGUGCCCAGAUGGGAUUAGCUAGUUGGUGAGGUAACGGCUCACCAAGGCGACGAUCCCUAGCUGGUCUGAGAGGAUGACCAGCCACACUGGAACUGAGACACGGUCCAGACUCCUACGGGAGGCAGCAGUGGGGAAUAUUGCACAAUGGG